rnacentral:rRNA from 1 species
GACGAACGCUGGCGGCGUGCUUAACACAUGCAAGUCGAACGGAAAGGCCCUGCUUUUGUGGGGUGCUCGAGUGGCGAACGGGUGAGUAACACGUGAGUAACCUGCCCUUGACUUUGGGAUAACUUCAGGAAACUGGGGCUAAUACCGGAUAGGGGCUCCUGCUGCAUGGUGGGGGUUGGAAAGUUUCGGCGGUUGGGGAUGGACUCGCGGCUUAUCAGCUAGUUGGUGGGGUAGUGGCUUACCAAGGCUUUGACGGGUAGCCGGCCUGAGAGGGUGACCGGCCACAUUGGGACUGAGAUACGGCCCAGACUCCUACGGGAGGCAGCAGUGGGGAAUAUUGCACAAUGGGCGGAAGCCUGAUGCAGCAACGCCGCGUGCGGGAUGACGGCCUUCGGGUUGUAAACCGCUUUCGCCUGUGACGAAGCGUGAGUGACGGUAAUGGGUAAAGAAGCACCGGCUAACUACGUG